UGGGGAAUAUUGCGCAAUGGACGAAAGUCUGACGCAGCGACGCCGCGUGAGGGAUGAAGGUCUUCGGAUCGUAAACCUCUGUCAGGAGGGAAGAAAGCGCAUGGCGCCAAUCAGCCAUGCGUUGACGGUACCUCCAGAGGAAGCGCCGGCCAACUCCGUGCCAGCAGCCGCGGUAAUACGGAGGGCGCGAGCGUUAAUCGGAAUUACUGGGCGUAAAGCGCGCGUAGGCUGUGGAGUAAGUCAGGGGUGAAAGCCCGCGGCUCAACCGCGGAAUUGCCUUUGAUACUGCUUUACUUGAAUCCGGGAGAGGGUGGCGGAAUUCCAGGUGUAGGAGUGAAAUCCGUAGAUAUCUGGAGGAACACCGGUGGCGAAGGCGGCCACCUGGACCGGUAUUGACGCUGAGGCGCGAAAGCGUGGGGAGCAAACAGG
rnacentral:rRNA from 1 species